GCCAGGGUAGCGUAAUGGUUAGCGCAUCUGCCUAAUGAGCAGGAUACCUAGGUUCGAAUCCUGGCCUUCGUA